rnacentral:rRNA from 1 species
AAUUUUUGACAAUGGGGGAAACCCUGAUCCAGCCAUCUCGCGUGUAUGAUGAAGGCCUUCGGGUUGUAAAGUACUUUUGGCAGAGAAGAAAAGGCAUCCCCUAUUACGGUAUGCUGCUGACGGUAUUCGCAGAAUAAGCACCGGCUAAGUACGUGCCAGCAGCUGCCGUAAUACGUAGGGUGCAAGCGUUAAUCGGAAUUACUGGGAGUAAAGAUUGUGUAGGCGGUUCGGAAAGAAAGAUGUGGAAUCCCAGGGCUCAACCUUGGAACUGCAUUUUUAACUGCCGAGCUAGAGUAUGUCAGAGGGGGGUAGAAUUCCACGUGUAGCAGUGAAAUGCGUAGAUAUGUGGAGGAAUACCGAUGGCGAAGGCAGCCCCCUGGGAUAAUACUGACGCUCAGACACGAAAGCGUGGGGAGCAAACAGG